UCCCCCGAGCCACACGCACACCCAAUCCCCUCCCCUCCAACCCUAGCCGCCUGGCUCGCUUCCUCCUCCAUCCUCCCGCGUCUGUGGCCCCCUCCAGCAUCUCUUCCACCACGGGAUCCGAGGUGCGCGGGCGUCUCUCUCCGCCUUGCCUAGUGUGCCAUCAGACGAGGCGGCGGCAGAGGGAGGGAGGAGGCGGGCACGACCUACUUUUCCCCUCCCACCCCUGCUCGACCUCCCUCUAGCCACCGCCGCCUCCUCCUCCUCUCCCUCUCCCGUGUUGCUGUCGUCGACCCUCACAGCUGCUCCUCCCCAUGCUAGCCCCUCCACCUCACAUUCUUCCGCUUGGCCGUCCACGCGGCCAGCAACGGCACCGCACCGUAGGGGCGGUCAGGGUGCCUGCUACAAGCCGCUUGACCUCCUGGCGCUGCUUCCUCAGAUGUGCCGGCGUCGCUGCCUGCGCCUUCUCCAGCGCCACUUCGGUCACCGGCGCCAACUCCGGUCAGUGGUCUCCGGCACGCCCUCGCGACUUGACGAGGCAGAGAUGUGCCGAGGAUCCCCACGCCCUUGGUUCUCAUGUUCUCUGCUCCCAGCCGCAACAGAUCGUCCCAAAGGCAUUAUCGUGAGGAGGGAAGCGGCCGCAGAUUAAGGACAGCGCGGUUUAAGAGCAUGGUCAUAGUCUAGGAGCACACCCGGUGGUCGGCGCGUAUGUUGUCUCCAUGCCAAAUUAGCCACUUGAUUAUUUUAACAAAUCCCUCUUCUGCCUCUUAGUCAUGCUCAAAUCUGAGCUACCAUGUGUCUACUGAGCUUAAAAUUACCCACAACCCACAAUAGAAGGCAAGUAGGAUUUGACAGUGUAUGACAUGGUAAUCUAGCUUUAUAAAAUCCAAAUUGAUCAGGAUAUGCACAAAUAUGUUUACAUAUUUGCAUCCCUAGCGUCACUUAUAGGAUUGUAAUUAAUAGCAACCAUGGAGAGAGUCGGUUCAUUUUAUUAUGAGCAGGUCUCUUCUUCUACAUCCUGAAGAUCUGCUAAAAUAUGAAGUGAAUUUCCUGUUUUAUCUCACAUUUACCAAUUACACAUUGAAAUAUUGUGUUUGUUAAGAGAGUUUGAUUUGUACUUUGGAAGUUUUGGGAUUGGAGACAUCACCCUUCUUGUCCGCUGCCCAACUCCGUCGCGGCCCAGGCCUAGCAGGCGAUAGAGGCACCACGAGGACUCACUACAAAGAAGCCGUGGGAGGAGGACCCCGACUCGGAUGACGACUGCUGAAAGAUCACGCACUUCUUUGGCCCACAGACCGGCUCCGCUUACGGCUUAUCCAAGGUUGGAGCUUCACCGGCGCCAUGGUUGUGCUCGGAGGAGGAUCGCCGAUGCCCGCCGCCGCUGUCUUCCACAUGCUCCUCCUCACGACCACGGGUGGACGUUGGCUGAGGUCUAGCCUCCCAUCCACACGCAGAUUAUGCAAGUAUCUGCUUGGUCUGCAUAUUAGUACCGACUAGCAAGCACAGGAACGACCACUUGGACCUGGCGACUUGGAUCUGAUGACUUGGAAUUCCAAUUGACCGAGACAUCAAUUAAUUGACUCAAAAUGACGGGAAGUGAAAGCAUCAGAUUGAGUGAUUCAGAUCAGUUCUUGCGUUGUACGCCUGUAAAUUCGGCGGUAAUUCCUAACUAUGACGUUGAUAUGAUCUCCCAUAUGCAUAUUUGACUAGUACUACGUGCAGCCCGCAAGCAAAGGUUGCCCGGCAAAUUCUGAUCCAGCCAAAUGGGAAGGUCGUCGAGCCCACCAGUCAUGGAUUCUUAUACAAACCCAAUAGGGUUGUUCUCCAUCGUCCUCGUGCCCUCCUGUAUGUACUCUCGCUUAUGUGUUCUUGGAUUCUUAUUUUCUUUCUUUGGCAGGAUCCAUAGGAUUAUUGUUUUCUCUGAAUUUGUCCUUUGGUGCAUUGUGUUUGCUUAUUCAGGUCGAUGGGGAGGAGAGGAGCAGCGAGGCUGGAGCUCUAGACGGGGCACACGUCCCUGGGUUAAGCAGAGGCCAGCUACGGGGCAAGGAGCAGUGGGCUUAGAGCUCCAGGCGGCGCUCCUGUCACGAUGUGGUGAGAUGCAAGGGAGGGGUAGGAUGCCGGUGACAGCAGAAGGAGCAGGCCGGUGUAGAGGGCAAGCAGCACAGGAAGAUUAAGAAGGAUAUGACGCUUUGUAUAGUUUCAUGGAUGGGGUUUGGGUGUCCUGAUGAGAGCAGUUCAGUGGAUGCACCUCUGCAACCUCGCCAACAUGGACAAUCACUGGUCAUGAGUACAGGAUCAAGCCGCGGAUAUUUACGGCGACAUGGAGUAUUUGGUGGAACUGGCUAUGGAAGUGUGUCGCUCCAUGUUGUAGGCAGGCCGUGAUAUGGUGAACUAUUUCUUAGGCACGACAUUAUGAGCUUCUGUUUUGCAGCACAUGGAUACUUUUCGGAAUAAAUGUCAUGGAUCCAUGAUGCCUUACGUACCUCUGAACCUAUGACUCUAGAGAUAAUUUAAUAUAUUUCUGGAUUGUUUCGCUCUGGUUACAUAAGGUAAGAUCAUCUUUCACUAACACUUUCAAGUUUCAAAAUUGUCAAACGGGGUUCACAAUACUAGGUCUUUCUCAAUUCAGAUUCUUAUAUAUCCAAAAGGGGGACUAGCAAUUCUGAUGGGGCUUUUGCCACUUAUUGUUUUAUGGUUGUAUAGACAGCUGAUGGCAUGCUUCUUUCUGUGAAUUGUCAAUUCUUUUGUACAGGGUCCCUCGGCUACUUAUGCUUUGCUAGACAAUGAGAGUAUGUAGAUAGCAUGUAUGGUUUUUACAUUGUUUUGCGCCGGUUGAGAUGCAUCACAUGAUGUUUUCCUUUUACAUUUAUGAGUAUUACAGAGUCCUUUCUUUUUUCACAAGGGGCAGUAGAUGUGCCAUUUGAUUUGAAGGACAAAGAGUUGAUCACAAAGGGGUAGCAUUCAGGAUAUAUACACAAAAGAGUAUAGAACCAAAUUAUAUGAUGUAAUUGACUACUAUUUCUAUUAACUUCUCCUGUACAUAAUGUUCACGAGUUCAUGUAUUAAGUACAUUUUAUUGUGUCACUUGUGUUUACUCUUUUUUUAAUGCAAGUUUACAGCUACUCGGAAUUCCUAAUUGUAGACUCAACUAUCUUGACCUACCGAUGAUCUAAUUUGUGGCAUUAUUACCUUAAAAAAGUAUUUG